UACGUAGGGGGCUAGCGUUGUCCGGAAUCAUUGGGCGUAAAGCGCGUGUAGGCGGUCCGGUAAGUCCGCUGUGAAAGUCGGGGGCUCAACCCUCGGAUGCCGGUGGAUACUGUCGGGCUUGAGUACGGAAGAGGCGAGUGGAAUUCCUGGUGUAGCGGUGAAAUGCGCAGAUAUCGGGAGGAACACCAAUUGCGAAGGCAGCUCGCUGGGACGUUACUGACGCUGAGACGCGAAAGCGUGGGGAGCAAACAGG
rnacentral:rRNA from 1 species